UUACCUGUACCUCAGACGGUAGAUUGUUGGACUAGUAAACCGAAGGACGUGGGUUCGAAUCCCAGCCAAGUAGA